CUCCCAACAAAGGACCCUGCGAUUCCACUAAGACAGAUCCAAGAAAAGGUAACGGACCCAACGCACCAUGAACAUGAUGGUCCGCCAGGUUCGACACUCGUACACUUGAUGAGGAGUCAACAUACCCAUGAUUAAAGCAGAAGAAGCAUCUCUGGGUUGAAUGUCUGAAUCUUUCGCAGAUCUAACAUUGAAGACGGGUUCAAAACCCUCGACUGCGGCCUCCAGACGAGAACCGAUCACCAUGAACAGAGCCCUCCUACGAGGAAGUAGCUUCUAAAAGAUUUGCACAAAAAGGUACAUCCUAUACCACACGCACCGACCGACUCUCAUAUUCAAGCAGCACAUCGAUUAAAUGCUAAAGCGGCAGAGGAUUCGACGAGAGCGACGCGAGGGUGAUGACAGAAUCGAACUCUUGAGAUCAUGACGAAGUUGGGAAAGUUUUGUACCUGUAACGGCAGCGAAGAGACAAGUGGCGGUGUUCCACACAUCACACAUCGUUCGAGCCUCUGUAAACGAUGAAAGAAGUGAGGAAUUAAUUAUGGACAGUAGCCAAGUGAGUAACCGGUCUUGCUGAAUAAACGCCGAGGCAUCCGAAUUCAAAACAAGCGAGCCUUUUAAAAACUGCACAAAUCGCGGUGGAGCAGUCUCAUGACGCGAAAACGAGUAAACGAGCCUAGCACCGGUGAACACUGAACCUCCAUGUUCGAUAGAGGCAGAAUCAGUAGAAGUCAUGGUGGCCAUGAACACAAGUCUCCAGCACCUUAGGCGAUUGAUACCAUGUUAACACCUUUGGCUAGGUCAUGGGGAAAGCUUUUGCCUUAUCCAGAUGGUUAAGGGGAGCCAAGAAUUACCAAUGGGAUGGGACAUUUCUCUUAAAGCGAUGGCGAAGAAGAUGGUGGCUGGAGGUAGCAUUUGGCUUUACGAGACAAGAGCUAAUUGGAAAGGUAAUUCAGGAGUUACAAUGGAGGAAAAAUAAAAGUCUAAUCUGAACAUUAAUAUGGCUGAUUUUAUGAGAAAUGCUGGCAGCAACUUGGGCAUUAAUUUGGCUGGAAAGUCAAAACUUCCUUGUAUGAAUGAAGACAUAUCUGAAGCAAUGAAUGCUAAUAUGGGGAGUGAUAAUCGGCCCAUUAAUUUUGUAGAUAGGAAAAUAAGUCCCAGAUAUUUUGAUGAUGGGUGUGGUUCUGAUGAGAAUGUGUCGAAUUUGGGGAAUGAAGGAAAAAAGGGUGAUGGAAAAAAAUUUCAACGGCUGAACCUGUAGAAUAGGUCAGCUGAGUAUUAUGAAAAUAUUAAGUUGGAACGUUUGUGGAAUAGGGAAUCCACGGUUAGUUCGAAGAAUUCAGCAGUUACUGAAAGAAUAUCGUCUCCAUAUAAUUUUCUUCAUUGAAAUAAAACUAAAUGAGAGUAAUAUGGAAAAAAAUCGUAGAAAAUUUGGUUAAUAUAAUGGCAUUGAUGUCUCAUCUAAUGGGUCAAGGGGGGGUUUAAGUUUGGGAUGGCAAAAUAGUUUGUCAGUUGAUUUGCAGAAUUUUAGUGACUACCAUGUUGAUGUAACGAUUACUGAUGUUGAUAUGGAUUUGAAGUGGUGUUUCACUAGCUUUUAUGGAGUUCUGGAGGGUCACAGAAAAAGUGAAUCGUGGGACUUGAUGAAACGACUUGGCCAGAAUUAUGAAGGGCCAUGGGUGAUCAUGGGUGAUUUUAAUGAAAUUGUGUCGAAUGAAGAGAAGUAAUAAGGGAGGCUAAAAGAGGAGCGACCUAUGAGCACUUUUCGGGAUGCGUUGGAGGGAUGCCGAUUAGCGGAUAUGGGUUUCUUAGGAAGAUGGUAUACAUGGGAACGUGGCAAUUUUGCUUCAAAUAACAUCCGUGAGAGGUUAGAUAGGGGUGUCGCUACUGCAACUUGGUAUAGUACUUUCCCUAAUUAUGUCGUUUCUCAUCUCACUAGCCCAAUUUCAGAUCACAACCCUUUAUUACUGGAUACUAAGGCUUUCAAUUUUGUAAGUCAAAGGUCAGCAGGGGAACCGAAUUUUAAAUUUGAAACAACAUGGAUGUUGGAAGACUCGUGUGAGGAGAUGAUUACUAAACUUUGGCAGGAUUCAAAUUAGUUGAGUAUACCGAAUCGUUUACUAAAUAUGGGAAAGAGGUUGAAGAAAUGGGAAACUAGAAAGUAAAAUGAAACAAGCAAGCCAUUCAUAAAUUCUGAAAUAAACUCAAUGAGCUGUAUGAAGCAGAUGUGGCUGAUGUAGUUUUGGGUGAAAUAAUUGAAGCUAAGUUGGCACUAAAUUUAAAGGUUGAUAAAGAGGAGAUCCACUGGGAGAAAAGGGCCAGAACAAAUUGGCUAAGGUAUGGUGAUCACAAUACUAAUUUUUUUCAUAAUUAUGCUUCAUUUAGGCGUAAAGUUAAUAGAAUUCAGAAACUGAAAGAUGGUGAUGGAGUGUUACGUGAAGGGGAGGAAGAAAAAUUAGAUAUUUCUUAUAAUUACUUUAAAGGUACUUUUGAAAGUAAGGGUUCUGUAGGUGCGAAUGUUAUAUAUAAUGGGCUGACUCCUACAGUGACCUGAUAGAUGAAUAAUUCCCUUUUGGAGGAUUUUUUGACCAUGAGAUUUUGAAAACGAUGAAGGAAAUGGGCUUUAAGAAGGCCUCGGGAUAUGAUGGUUUCCCAGCCAUUUUUUACUAGAGAUUUUGGCAUAUCAUUGGGGAGGAUGUUAAACAAUUUUGUCUACAAGCCUUGAAUAGAGAGAUACCAUUGCAUGAGAUGAAUUUUACAAAGAUUUCCUUGAUCCCAAAAACUGAUGAGGCGAAUGAUAUGUCUUUAUUCCACCCGAUCAGUUUAUGCUCCGUAUUAUACAAAGUAAUUUCUAAAGUCAUUGCGAAUCAAUUGAAUAUUGUUUUGGAUAUUUGUAUUGAUGAGGCACAAGGGGCAUUUGUUCCAGGUCGUCUUAUUUUAGACACUGUUUUGGUGGCAUAUGAGUUGAUGCAUGCUUUGAAGAGAAAGAGAACAGGAAAAAAGGGGUCAUUUGCUUUGAAGCUCGAUAUGAGCAAAGCUUACGAUCGGGUUGAAAGGCAUUUUAUAGAAGGUAUGAUGCUUCAAAUGGGUUUUGAUACAAGAUGGGUGGAACUUAUUAUGCAUUGCAUAUCGUUGGUUUCAUACUUUGUAAUGGUUAAUAAAGAGGCCAAUGAAGUAUUUAUUCCUAGUAAAGGAUUACGACAAGGAGAUCCUCUGAGUCCAUAUUUAUGUUUAAUGCGUACGAAAUGUUUUUCAACAUUACUAAAGAUUGCAAAGCAGGAUGGCAUAAUGAAGAGAGAGAGGGAGUCUAUCAAUGACGCACCUUUUCUUUAACGAUGACAGUAUUAUCUUUGGUGAGGCUACGGAAAGGGGAGGCUAGGUGAUUAAAGAUAUUUUUGAAAAGUAUGAAAGGGCUUCAAGUUAGAAAAUUAACUUGGAUAAGUCUGUCAUUUUCUUUAGCUCGAAUUUGGAGAAUCAUGGUUGCAAUCAGAUUGUGAACAAUUUAGGGGUGUGAAGAUAUUUUAGUAUGGAACGGUAUUUGGAUUACCAACUCUGGUAGGUCGAAGCAAGAAAGAAGCCUUUUUCAUAUAUUUGCGAUAGGAUGAGACAAAAGAUUGAAAAUUGGAGUGUUCAUUUUCUUUCGCAUGGGGGAAAGGAGAUUUUCAUAAAGGUUGUUCUUCAAGCUUUACCCACUUACUCUAUGUCUUAUUUUUUUUCUACCCAAAACCCUUUGCCAUAAUCUUGAACAAAUCUUGAAUCGAUUUUGGUGGCAGAAAAGUGAAAAGCGUAGAGGGAUGCAUUGGAGUCGAUGGGAUGAUUUGUGUAAACAGAAGGAUCGAGGGGGUAUGGGGUUUCGCGAUUUAUUUGGGAACUUACCCAUCAUAUGUGUGGAGAAGCAUUUUUGCAGCAAAAAAACUUCUAGAGGACGGGGUGGGUUGGAAUGUGGGCUCUGGUAUGAACAUAUUGAUCUGGAGGGACAGUUGGCU